AACAGCCUGUUGGACUACCAAGAGAAAGCAAAAAAUUAAACCCAGCCGCUUGGCUGUUGGGUUUUUUUCAAUGGGGCAAGAAUUGAAAAUAUAAAAGAAAAUUUAUUAACUAAGACCUAGGAAUUUUAAACGUGUUUUUAAUGUUUUCCCAAAAUCUAUUCUGUUAACAAAAUAUAAAGAAACAAGUAAAAAAAAAAGAAAACAAAAGAAAGAAAGAAAAAAUGGGAACAGAAACCAUUUGUUGCCUCUGGGUUCUCUCCAUCUCAAUCCAAAGUUCUCUCUCGUCAAAAUCCCCAUCUCCACAAAUCUCUCUCUCUCAAUCUCGCGCACCAUCGCUUAACCUCGCUCACUUCUCA
rnacentral:lncRNA from 1 species